CCUACGGGGUGCACCAGUGGGGAAUAUUGCACAAUGGGCGCAAGCCUGAUGCAGCCAUGCCGCGUGUGUGAAGAAGUCCUUCGGGUUGUAAAACACUUUCAGCGGGAGGAAGGCGUUAAGGUUAAUAGCCUUAGCGAUUGACGUUACCCGCAGAAGAAGCACCGGCUAACUCCGUGCCAGCAGCCGCGGUAAUACGGAGGGUGCAAGCGUUAUCGGAAUUACUGGGCGUAAAGCGCACGCAGGCGGUCUGUCAAGUCGGAUGUGAAAUCCCCGGGCUCAACCUGGGAACUGCAUUCGAAACUGGCAGGCUAGAGUCUUGUAGAGGGGGGUAGAAUUCCAGGUGUAGCGGUGAAAUGCGUAGAGAUCUGGAGGAAUACCGGUGGCGAAGGCGGCCCCCUGGACAAAGACUGACGCUCAGGUGCGAAAGCGUGGGGAGCAAACAGGAUUCGAUACCCCUGUAGUC
rnacentral:rRNA from 1 species